rnacentral:rRNA from 1 species
AGUUGUACUGCCAAGUGCACCGCUGAUUAGCUACGUUCGGAUGGGAUAACCGCUGAAAGCAUCUAAGCGGGAAGCUCGCUUCAAGAUGAGAUUUCCAAACACAUUUAUGUGUGAGAGGCCCCCAGCCAGACCACUGGGUUGAUAGGCCGGAUGUGGAAGCGAGGACUAAAGACUCGUGAAGCUGACCGGUACUAAUAGGCCAACAACUUACACCACA